UGGGGAAUUUUGGACAAUGGGGGCAACCCUGAUCCAGCCAUGCCGCGUGUGUGAAGAAGGCCUGCGGGUUGUAAAGCACUUUUGGCAGGGAUGAAAAGCACUGGAUUAAUAACCCAGUGUGUUGACCUAACCUGCAGAAGAAGCACCGGCUAACUCUGUGCCAGCAGCCGCGGUAAUACAGGGGGUGCGAGCGUUAAUCGGAAUUACUGGGCGUAAAGCGCACGUAGGCGGAUUUGUCAGUCAGGGGUGAAAUCCCGGGGCUCAACCUCGGAACUGCCCUUGAUACAGCAAGUCUUGAGUUCGAGAGAGGUGGGUGGAAUUCCUAGUGUAGAGGUGAAAUUCGUAGAUAUUAGGAAGAACACCGGUGGCGAAGGCGGCCCACUGGCUCGAUACUGACGCUGAGGUGCGAAAGCGUGGGGAGCAAACAGGAUUAGAUACCCUCGUAGUCCCUGAGCGGGCUGGCAAGGCGCAU
rnacentral:rRNA from 1 species